rnacentral:rRNA from 1 species
AUUGAACGCUGGCGGCAGGCCUAACACAUGCAAGUCGGACGGUAGCACAGAGAGCUUGCUCUUGGGUGACGAGUGGCGGACGGGUGAGUAAUGUCUGGGGAUCUGCCCGAUAGAGGGGGAUAACCACUGGAAACGGUGGCUAAUACCGCAUAACGUCGCAAGACCAAAGAGGGGGACCUUCGGGCCUCCCACUAUCGGAUGAACCCAGAUGGGAUUAGCUUGUAGGCGGGGUAAUGGCCCACCUAGGCGACGAUCCCUAGCUGGUCUGAGAGGAUGACCAGCCACACUGGAACUGAGACACGGUCCAGACUCCUACGGGAGGCAGCAGUGGGGAAUAUUGCACAAUGGGCACAAGCCUGAUGCAGCCAUGCCGCGUGUAUGAAGAAGGCCUUCGGGUUGUAAAGUACUUUCAGCGGGGAGGAAGGCGACGCGGUUAAUAACCGCGUCGAUUGACGUUACCCGCAGAAGAAGCACCGGCUAACUCCGUGCCAGCCGCCGCGGUAA